UUUAAAAUCUUGUCUUUGGGCCCACUCCAACCUUGCUACACCCCUGGUCACCUAGCAAUUAUCAUGGCUGAAUGGGGAUUUGAACAACUUUUGCCUGUAUUAUAAACUGCUUAGUUAUUUCAAGAGUCUUUUAAUUUCUUUGAUAAUUGAACUAGAAUGUAUUUAAAGUCAUACUACUAUGCUUGGCUAGUUAAGAAACAUUGUUAGAAUGGACCAAAACGUACAGAGCAUUCAGAAUAAUUUGAAUCUGGCCUAUUUAUGUCUGAGCAGAACACAAUCAGAAAGCCUAUUAUGAAAAAGCCUAUUGGUUAGAGAAAUAAUCAUUCUGCAUGAUUGUCUAUAUUCCAAAUGGCCUAGAUACUCAUUGGGCAACAUCCAGUCUAGUUAGUCAUGACUAAGCACCACUGAACUCAGUGAGAUAAGUUAGUCAUGACUAACUUAAGCCAUUUCAGGGGGACAUAGUUACAACCUACUUAGUCUGGAUGCUGCCUCUUCUUUAUUCUGUGUAGGAUAUUAAAAAAAAAUGGUUGACAUGUUAAAGAUCUUAAUCUAUUAACUUUCAGCAAGAUUGUUUUACAUUCAUUUUAGCGGUACCAUACCUCAUUCAUUGUGCUAGCCCUAUGGAUCUUUUGUGUCUCCCGGCCCUCAAAAGUAUUGAGGGGGGAGUUCAUUCUUCCUGCAAUUAGUAUUCAUGGUUCGCUAAGCAGAACUAAUGCAACAAAUCUUACUUGUUUUUUCAUUGGAGGUUAUGUUACCUGUUUUCCAGCAUGGCCUGGGGAAAGAUUUCCUUCUGAAGAAGGUAUUUUUGAGUAUCUAUUGCCUUAUUGUGGAUUUAAUUCUUCCCGCUGAGGAUUUCAGAUCUUUCCCCAUCUUAAUUUAGCACCUACUGAGAGAAAUCAAUUCUACAUACUAGAUUUGAGGGACAAGAAAGAAGAAAUAGAGUAUAAUUUGCCUCAUCUUUUAAAGAUCAAAACAUUUUUGAAGAGGAUUAGAGUUUUAAAAGGACUAUUUUUGCUGUGUUAUGAUCCUUGCUUCAUCUUGUUUAAAUCAGGAAAAGCUGAAGUUUAUCAGACUGUUCCCCAGUGAUUAUGCCUGUAUAUUGUGAACUGUGAUGAACUGGCCUAAAUCCAAAUCUACACGUGUGGGAGAUGUACUGUAGACCCCCCCACUGAAGACUUUGAGUAGUGCUAGUCAGCUGUUUGAUUGGGGGGCAGGGCGGAAGGAGGAUGACUAAAUCCCACCCCACUACCCAUCCCACGCAACUAAUCAUCAGCACUAUUGAGUCUCUUUUCCUGGGGCUAUGCAAGCACAGCCCCAUCUGGUGGAUUGGGCUGGGGGAAAUCAUGGGUUUAACACCUAUUUGUGUCCAUAGUUCUGCUUAUAACUAGAGAUAGAUGCACAGAUGCUGAGAAACUGUGAGAGAAAGAGUUUCUAAGAUGGUAUAGAUGGCUGAAAUGAUUUUUGUGACCACAGUGGAAGGACAGCAGACAUACACAGGUGGUGCAAAAGCAACCUGCAGCUUCAUUACAAUUGACCCACUAGUUUAGCAAGCUUGGAAACAAUUCUUUUAGCUCUACAAAAAUGCUUCUGGUAUUGAGCAAAAAUGGCUACUUUUUAAACAUCAAAGAGAUGAACACUGAAUUAGUAAAUCUUUGUAGAUAUGUUGAAAGUACAACCUGGCAGUUGUUUUUAUUUCAUUCUAUACGGAAACCAUAUAGGACAAGCAAGAACAAAAUUUAACCAAAUGAAGAUCUUCCUCUGCAAGAGUAAACUCGAUUUGAAACUCAGAAUCAGAAUGAUGAAAUGCUACAUCUGGUCUCUUCUCCUGUAUGGAUGUGAAACCUGGACAAUCAAGAAAAAGCACAUAAAAAAACUGGAAGCCUUUGAGAUGUGGUGUCUCAGAAUAAUACUCAAGAUUAAAUGGACCAACAGAAAAACAAAUGGAGUACUUAGAAAAGCAAAAACACAUAAACAAAUAAUGCAGAAUCAAGAGACGUCAACUGGAGCAUUGUGGAUAUAUCCUCAGAGGAGUAAAAUAUCAAAUACCACAACUAACACUAGAAGGAAAGCUAGCAGGAAAUAGAUCAAGAGGAAGAAGGAGGAAUUGAUGAAUGGAUGGAAUGGCUAGAAAUGGACACAGAAGAUAUCAUCCACAAUUCUAGGAACCAUGGUCUAUGGGUUUUGCUGGCUGAUAAUCUCUCAAUCAGAAAAGGCACAUGAAGAGAGAGAUAUGGAAAUAUCUCAUAGAUUUCAGGGGAAAUGAGAUUUCUUUAUUAACAUGCUUUUUCUUAGAGCCAUGUUUUGGGGAAGUACAAAAAUCCAGGCCAAGCUGACUGAAAUACAACCACUGGUGCAUUUUGUACAAAAGUAAUUUGUGCCAUAGUGUUAUUGACUGAUGGUUUGGAGGCAGAGCAGAUAGCCCUGACCAUGGAUCAGGCCCAAGGACCAUCUAGUCCAGCAUUAUGUUUCACACAGUGGCCCACCAGGUGCCACUGGGAAGCCCACAGGCUGAGGACAAAUUGCUGAGGGAGCAAUUGCUUUAGGGGAGCAGGUAAAAUUCAGUUUGUUCCUUGUUAUCUUAUCCCUGAUGAGCUACUAGCUGAAAUUAAGACUGUAUUUUAUGAAUUAAGACCAUACAAAUUUAAUUUUAUGGUUAAAAUUUUAAUUUAAAUAUUUUAAUAUUUUAAUGUUAUUUUAUGAAAUUUUAUUGUAUUAACUUUUGUAAACCACCUUGAGAUGAGUUUUAUGAAAGGCAGUAUAUAAGUAGAACAAUAAACAAAACAAAAUAUCACCUGA